GGGCGGGUGGCGGAACGGUCUACGCGACGGACUUAAAAUCCGUUGGCCGCAAGGCCUUGAGGGUUCGAUUCCCUCCUCGCCCACCA
rnacentral:tRNA from 1 species